AAAAACCAAUUUUGCUUUUUAAUUCAAAUAAAUUUCCGGUGCCAGCUCUUCUUUUUCUUCGGCGCUUCCCUUCUCCUGUUGUCACUCCCCAACCCCGCCUCAUCAGAAAGAACCACCGCAGCGCCGCCGCCGGUGAAAGCGGGGGCUGCGGCCUUCCCCCCCACUCCCCGACCUUCAGACCCGAGGGCAGGGGUGCUCAAAAUCAUGGCUGUUGGGUUUGCUAGGUUCUUCCUCAAUCCCUAAUCAAAAACAUUGGUCAUCCGCUAGGGUUGACUUCUCAUCUCUCCGCCUUCAUCGCCUCUCAGAUCCCCGAGCCUCAUCACCUAUCGCUGGUCGAAGCAAGGCGAAGGGGAGCCUCCUAUCGUUAACCGACUGCGGUUCCAUUGAGCCCCCGCACCGCCGUUGCCUCCUUGAGCAGCGCCGGUGGCACCAUCACCUUCUUCUUGCCAGCGCCGGACUUUCUGGCUUGCUGCUGCUCCGCCUUUUUUGCAAUGCCGAUCUGGUACUUGAGCUGGAUCCGUGCCAGCCGGUCCUCGAAGGUGGGUCACUGGUGGCUGAUGCAGGAGGUUCGGUCCGGGCGGCGGCAAGGAGGACACUUUCUUAGGCUGGGGAUCGUUGGCGAGCAUGCAAGGGGUGAGGCGAGGGGUUUUUUUCUUCUGUUGGUAAGUAGGGAAGAAUUUAGAGAGGGAGUGAUGGGUUGGCGCAAACUAAAAGCAUUGUCAAACUGACUUUGUGGUUUCCAAUAUAGGUGGCAUUAUGAAGGUCAAAAUACUUCAGUGGCAUGCUGUGGCUUCUUGGACAUGGGAUGCUCAAGAUGAAACAUGCGGUAUCUGUAGAAUGGCGUUUGAUGGCUGCUGCCCGGAUUGCAAAUUCCCUGGAGAUGACUGUCCAUUGGUUUGGGGUGCAUGUAACCAUUCUUUCCAUCUUCACUGCAUACUGAAGUGGGUGAACUCACAGAACUCACAGGCAUCCCAGCAACAGCCACAAUGUCCCAUGUGUCGCAGAGAGUGGCAAUUUAAAGCAUGAGAAUUGAUGAAUGGGUUCUUGGAAGCAACUUGUUAUUUAGAGUCGGUUAAUGUGCUGGAAAUAGAGUAUUUUCUGUUAUAUGAAAGUUGGAGACCACCCUUCUCUUUUUCAUGUAAAAUGUAGGUUGGACAAUGUCAAGGCUACGGACAUGAAGUGUUCUUUUAUCUGUCAAUUUUGAUGGAUAUUAAUGCUUCGGCAUGAAAAUAGUUGGUCAUAUGUGGAUUGCAUACUUUUUUUGAAACAAAUUUCUAUUACUACGCCGAUAUGCCCUUUGUGCAU